UCACCUGUGAUCAUUUUCACAUUUACCCCAAGAUUCAAUGCCCUCCGAAUGGUGUCAGCACUAUCAUGUCUUGGCGGAUCAAACAGAGGGUUAAGACCAAUGAAUUGCCAUGGACCUCCUGGGCUUUCCUUUCUACCUUCAGGAACUUCCUGGUAUGCGACUGCAAGAGAACGUAAACCUCGUUCUGCAAAUUUUUCAAUCACUACAUGAACUCUAUGUUCUAUCUCCGACUUGUUGUGUGCAAGAUUCAGAAUCUGCUCUGGUGCACCUUUGCUGACCCGAUGCAUUUUGCCUUCACUAUCAAUAUAUGUCAGAGCUGUUCGCUUGUCUGUUGGAUUGAAUGGAAGGAAGUGAAUUUCUUGAAUACCAGCUCGUGCCUCUUUUGGAUCAGCCAACAUCCCCACUAUAGCAGCAUCUAUUGCAUCCUGGUUUUCCACUCGAGAGGCUCUAGCUGCCAUCAGAACCACAGAAUCUGCAUCUAUUCCUUUAGCAAAGAUCUCAAUCAAAUUCU
rnacentral:misc_RNA from 1 species